rnacentral:rRNA from 1 species
UACGUAGGUCCCGAGCGUUGUCCGGAUUUAUUGGGCGUAAAGCGAGCGCAGGUGGUUAUUAAGUCUGGUGUAAAAGGCAGUGGCUCAACCAUUGUAUGCAUUGGAAACUGGUAGACUUGAGUGCAGGAGAGGAGAGUGGAAUUCCAUGUGUAGUGGUGAAAUGCGUAGAUAUACGGAGGAACACCAGUGGCGAAGGCAGAUUGCUGGACAGUAACUGACGCUGAGGCGCGAAAGCGUGGGGAGCAAACAGG